CCUACGGGAGGCAGCAGUGGGGAAUCUUGCGCAAUGGGCGAAAGCCUGACGCAGCAACGCCGCGUGCGGGAAGAAGGCUUUCGGGCUGUAAACCGCUUUCAGCAGGAACGAAAAUGACGGUACCUGCAGAAGAAGGAGCGGCCAACUAUGUGCCAGCAGCCGCGGUGAUACAUAGGCUUCAAGCGUUGUCCGGAUUUAUUGGGCGUAAAGAGUUCGUAGGCGGUCGAGUAAGUCGGGUGUGAAAAUUCUGGGCUCAACCCAGAGACGCCACCCGAUACUGCUUGACUUGAGUUCGAUAGGGGAGUGGGGAAUUCCUAGUGUAGCGGUGAAAUGCGCAGAUAUUAGGAGGAACACCGGUGGCGAAGGCGCCACUCUGGAUCGAUACUGACGCUGAGGAACGAAAGCAUGGGUAGCAAACAGGAUUAGAUACCCUGGUAGUCCAUGCCGUAAACGGUGGGCACUAGGUGUGGGUUUCUAUUAACGAAAUCCGCGCCGUCGCUAACGCAUUAAGUGCCCCGCCUGGGGAGUACGGUCGCAAGCUAAAACUCAAANANAUGAGCGNGAGACGNGCGAGCGACGACGAGGAGAG
rnacentral:rRNA from 1 species